GUCGGAGUGGUGGAAUGGGCAGACACGUACGUUUGAGGGGCGUAUGCCGGGAGGCGUGAGGGUUCAAGUCCCUCCUCCGACACCA
rnacentral:tRNA from 1 species